GACGAACGCUGGCGGCGUGCUUAACACAUGCAAGUCGAACGGAAAGGCCCUGCUUUUGUGGGGUGCUCGAGUGGCGAACGGGUGAGUAACACGUGAGUAACCUGCCCUUGACUUUGGGAUAACUUCAGGAAACUGGGGCUAAUACCGGAUAGGAGCUCCUGCUGCAUGGUGGGGGUUGGAAAGUUUCGGCGGUUGGGGAUGGACUCGCGGCUUAUCAGCUUGUUGGUGGGGUAGUGGCUUACCAAGGCUUUGACGGGUAGCCGGCCUGAGAGGGUGACCGGCCACAUUGGGACUGAGAUACGGCCCAGACUCCUACGGGAGGCAGCAGUGGGGAAUAUUGCACAAUGGGCGGAAGCCUGAUGCAGCAACGCCGCGUGCGGGAUGACGGCCUUCGGGUUGUAAACCGCUUUCGCCUGUGACGAAGCGUGAGUGACGGUAAUGGAAAGAG
rnacentral:rRNA from 1 species